GACGAACGCUGGCGGCGUGCUUAACACAUGCAAGUCGAACGGAAAGGCCCUGCUUUUGUGGGGUGCUCGUGUGGCGAUCGUGUGAGUAACACGUGAGUAACCUGCCCUUUACUUUGUUAUAUCUUCAGGAAACUGGGUCUAAUACCGGAUAGGAGCUCCUGCUGCUUGGUGGUGGUUGGAAAGUUUCGGCGGUUGGGGAUGGACUCGCUGCUUAUCAGCUUGUUUGUGGGGUAGUGGCUUACCAAGGCUUUGACGGGUAGCCGGCCUGAGAGGGUGACCGGCAAAAAUGGGACUGAGAUACGGAACAGAAUAGAACGGGAGGCAGGAGUGGGGAAGAGUGAAAAAGGGGCGGAAGCAUGAUGAAGAAAAGACGCGUGCGGGAUGACGGCAUUCGGGUUGUAAAAAGAUUUCGAAUGGGAAGAAGAGUGAGUGACGGUAAUGGGUAAAGAAGCACCGGCUAACUACGUG
rnacentral:rRNA from 1 species